UAAGGGCUGCAGUAUUUUGACUGUACUAAGGUAGCAUAAUAAAUAGUCUUUUAAUUGGAGACUUGUAUGAAUGAUUGGAUAAAAUAUAAACUGUCUUAAGUUAAUGUGAAAAAUUUAAUUUUUUUUUAAAAAAGAAAAAAUUUAUUUAAAAGACGAGAAGACCCUAUAGAGUUUUAUAAUUUUUUAUUUAUUUAAAAUUAUAAAUUUUUAUAUUUAUAAAUAAAUUAAUUUAUUUUAUUGGGGUGAUAGUAAAAUUUAAUUAACUUUUAUUUUAAAAAAACAUAAAUUUAUGAAUAUUAUAUCUUUUUUCGAUAAAAGAUUAAAUUACCUUAGGGAUAACAGCGUAAUUUUUUUUUUUAGUUCAUAUAAAAAAAAUAGUUUGCGACCUCGAUGUUGGAUUAAAAUAAAAUUUAAAUGUAAAGAUUUAAUAUUUUUAAUCUGUUCGAUUAUUAAAAUUUUACAUGAUCU
rnacentral:rRNA from 1 species